ACUGGAGGCUCUCAGACUGAGGAGCUGCAGGUUGUCAGAGAUCAGCUGUUCUGAUCUGAUCUCAGCUCUGAUGUCCAACCCCUCCCAUCUGAGAGAUCUGGACGUGAGUGAGAACGCUCUGCAGGACUCAGGAGUGGAGCUGCUGAGAGAUCUUCUGGAGAGUCCAGACUGCAGACUGGACACUCUCAGACUGAGGGGCUGCAGGUUGUCAGGGAUCAGCUGUUCUGCUCUGAUCUCAGCUCUGAAGUCCA